UGUCACUGACGCUGAGGCUCGAAGGUGCGGGUAUCGAACAGGAUUAGAUACCCUGGUAGUCCGCACGGUAAACGAUGGAUGCCCGCUGUUUGCGUGUUUCGUAAGCGGCCAAGCGAAAGCGUUAAGCAUCCCACCUGGGGAGUACGCCGGCAACGGUGAAACUCAAAGGAAUUGACGGGGGCCCGCACAAGCGGAGGAACAUGUGGUUUAAUUCGAUGAUACGCGAGGAACCUUACCCGGGCUUGAACUGCAGAGGAAAGAUCCAGAGAUGGUGAUGCCCUUCGGGGUCUCUGCGGAGGUGCUGCAUGGUUGUCGUCAGCUCGUGCCGUGAGGUGUCGGCUUAAGUGCCAUAACGAGCGCAACCCCUGCCGACAGUUGCCAUCGCGUGAUGGCGGGCACUCUGUCGGGACUGCCACCGCAAGGUGUGAGGAAGGUGGGGAUGACGUCAAAUCAGCACGGCCCUUACGUCCGGGGCUACACACGUGUUACAAUGGGGAGCACAGCGAGUAAGCGGCCGGCAACGUCCGUUCAAUCAUGAAAUCUCCCCUCAGUUCGGAUUGGGGUCUGCAACCCGACCCCAUGAAGCUGGAUUCGCUAGUA
rnacentral:rRNA from 1 species